rnacentral:rRNA from 1 species
GAUGAACGCUGGCGGUAUGCUUAACACAUGCCAGUCGAACGGACUCUUCGGAGUUAGUGGCGGACGGGUGAGUAACGCGUGAGAAUCUGGCUUUGGGUUCGGGACAACCACUGGAAACGGUGGCUAAUACCGGAUGUGCCGUGAGGGAAAAGAGAAAUUGCCUGAUAAGGAGCCCGCGUCUGAUUAGCUAGUUGGUGAGGGGAAGGCUCACCAAGGCAGCGAGCAGUAGCUGGUGUGAGAGGAGGAUCAGCCACACCGGGACUGAGACACGGCCCAGAAGACUACUGGAGGAAGCAGUGGGGAAUGAUCCGGCACGGUCGACAGACUGAUGAAGCAGUACCGCGGGGUGGAAGAAGGCGCUUGGGGUGUAAAACUCUUCUUUUAGGGAAGACGAAAAUGACGGUACCCAAAGAAUAAGCACCGGCUAACUUCGUG